rnacentral:lncRNA from 1 species
AAAUCUUAAAAGAAUAUUAUAAUGAAAAAUAUUCUAAAAAAUCUUUAAAAAAUAUUAAAAUAAUAACAAAUAUAUCUUAAAUAAAUCUCAACCAAGUCCUAAUUUAAUCCUAAUUGAAACCUUAAUAGACUUCAAUCAAAUCCUAGGCCAAAUCCUAAAUCCUAAGCAAAUUCUAAAUCCUAAAUCUUAAGCAAAUCCUAAAUUCUAAAUCCUAAGCAAAUUCUAAAUCAAAUCCUAAAUCCUAGUCCAAUCCUAAAUCAUAAUCAAAUCCUAAGAAAAUCCGAAAUUUUAAUCUAGUUCUAAAUUUUAACCAAAUUCUAAAUCCUAAUCAAAUCCUAAUCAAAUUCUAAUAAAAUUCUAAAUCCUAAUCCAAUCCUAAUCUUAAACCAAACCUUAACCAAAACCUAAUCAAUUCAACUUAAUCCUAAU